rnacentral:rRNA from 1 species
UACGUAGGGGGCGAGCGUUGUCCGGAGUUACUGGGCGUAAAGGGCAUGCAGGCGGUCCGACACGGUUUGUGUGACAGCGGGUGGCUUAACUACCCGAGGAUACGAAAGACGGUUGGACUUGAGGACUCGAGAGGGACACGGAAUUCCGGGUGGAGUGGUGAAAUGCGUAGAGAUCCGGAGGAACACCGAAGGCGAAGGCAGUGUCCUGGCGAGUGACUGACGCUGAGGUGCGAAAGCCAGGGGAGCGAACGGG